CAACGCGGAGUCACAGAAUCUGCAGCCUCACAGAAGGAAGGUCACAUAAGCACACAAAGAGAAGGUGGCCAUCUAUGAGCCAGGAAGAGAGGUCUCACCAGAAACCAAACCUGGCACCUUGAUCUUGAACUUACAGCCUCCAGAACUGUGAGAAAAUAAAUUACUGUUCAAGUCAUUCAUUGUGUGGUAUUUCGUUAUGGCAGCCUGAACAGAUUAAUAUAAUAUGACCUAUGGCUUCAGUCUAUUCUUACGAAGACUUUAUUCCAUUGUCAAACAAAAUUUAAAG
rnacentral:lncRNA from 10 species